GUCCAGGGAUGGGAAUCGAACCCACAGUGUUCUGCUUACCGGGGCAGAUGCCAUGUCCACUAGGCUACCCUGGA